GAAAUGCGAUAACUAGUGUGAAUUGCAGAAUUCCGUGAAUCCUCGAGUCUUUGAACGCACAUUGCGCCCCCUGGUAUUCCGGGGGGCAUGCCUGUCCGAGCGUCAUUGCUGCCCAUCAAGCACGGCUUGUGUGUUGGGUCGUCGUCCCCUCUCCGGGGGGGACGGGCCCCAAAGGCAGCGGCGGCACCGCGUCCGAUCCUCGAGCGUAUGGGGCUUUGUCACCCGCUCUGUAGGCCCGGCCGGCGCUUGCCGAACGCAAAUCAAUCUUUUUCCAGGUUGACCUCGGAUCAGGUAGGGAUACCCGCUGAACUUAAGC
rnacentral:misc_RNA from 1 species